UACGGCAUUAUCAGGUUGAAACACCUGUUCCCGAAGGAUCCCCGAAGUUAAGCAAGGUCGAACCUGGUCAGUACGUACUUGAGUGAUUGCUUGGGAAUAUUUAGUGCAGUAGG